rnacentral:misc_RNA from 1 species
ACCUGCAGUGCACUGCUUCAGAUAAGUCUGGAGAGAGAGAAGUCGGGCGGUAUUUUGCGAGGAGAGAUACGUAGAGGGAGAGGGGAGAGAGACAGCUCAGUGGCUAUAUAUAGCCAUUUGUGAGUGUACAUAGUGAUUGUGAGAGGCUUUGGUGGUAAUCGUAAUGAGUACUGUGUCGGAAUUACCGAAUUAGGAAAACGUGGCGGGAGGGACCAUUGGUGUGGCAACAGUAGUGGUAGAGUGUGUG